UACGAAGGGGCUAGCGUUGCUCGGAAUCACUGGGCGUAAAGGGUGCGUUAGGCGGGUCUUUAAGUCAGAGGUGAAAUCCUGGAGCUCAACUCCAGACUGCCUUUGAUACUGAGGAUCUUGAGUAUGGGAGAGGUGAGUGGAACUGCGAGUGUAGAGGUGAAAUUCGUAGAUAUUCGCAAGAACACCAGUGGCGAAGGCGGCUCACUGGCCCAUUCUGACGCUGAGGCACGAAAGCGUGGGGAGCAAACAGGG
rnacentral:rRNA from 1 species